CCCUUAGAUGUCCGGGGCUGCACGCGCGCUACACUGAAGGAAUCAGCGUGCUAGAAAACCUUGUUUGACAUGGCUAGGUAACCCGUUGAAAAUCUUUCGUGAUUGGGAUCGGGACUUGCAAAUGUGUCCCUUGAACGAGGAAUUCCCAGUAAGUGCGGGUCGUAAGCUCGCGCUGAUUACGUCCCUGCCCUUUGUACACACCGCCCGUCGCUGCCCGGAACUGAGCCGUUUCGAGAAGACUGGGGACUGCGAACUUUGGGCUGGAAAACAGCUUUUUGUUUGUGGAAACCACUUUAAUCGCAGCGGCUUGAACCGGGCAAAAGUCGUAACA
rnacentral:rRNA from 1 species